rnacentral:rRNA from 1 species
GACGAACGCUGGCGGCGUGCCUAAUACAUGCAAGUUGAGCGCUGAAGGUUGGUACUUGUCCCAACUGGAUGAGCAGCGAACGGGCGAGUAACGCGUGGGGAAUCUGCCUUUGAGCGGGGGACAACAUUUGGAAACGAAUGCUAAUACCGCAUAAAAACUUUAAACACAAGUUUUAAGUUUGAAAGAUGCAAUUGCAUCACUCAAAGAUGAUCCCGCGUUGUAUUAGCUAGUUGGUGAGGUAAAGGCUCACCAAGGCGAUGAUACAUAGCCGACCUGAGAGGGGGAUCGGCCACAUUGGGACGGAGACACGGCCCAAACUCCUACGGGAGGCAGCAGUAGGGAAUCUUCGGCAAUGGACGAAAGUCUGACCGAGCAACGCCGCGUGAGUGAAGAAGGUUUUCGGAUCGUAAAACUCUGUUGGUAGAGAAGAACGUUGGUGAGAGUGGAAAGCUCAUCAAGUGACGGUAACUACCCAGAAAGGGACGGCUAACUACGUG